rnacentral:rRNA from 1 species
CGGGGGGAGCAAGCGUUGUUCGGAUUUACUGGGCGUAAAGGGCGCGUAGGCGGCGCAACAAGUCACUUGUGAAAUCUCCGGGCUUAACCCGGAGCGGCCAAGUGAUACUGUCGUGCUAGAGUGCGGAAGGGGCUACUGGAAUUCUCGGUGUAGCGGUGAAAUGCGUAGAUAUCGAGAGGAACACCUGCGGCGAAGGCGGGUAGCUGGGCCGACACUGACGCUGAGGCGCGAAAGCCAGGGGAGCGAACGGGAUUAGAUACCCCGGUAGUCCUGGCCUUAAACGAUGGACGCUUGGUGUCCGGGGUUACAUAGUCCCCGGGUGCCGGCGCUAACGCAUUAAGCAUCCCGCCUGGGGAGUACGGUCGCAAGACUG